rnacentral:snRNA from 1 species
GUGCUUGCUUCGGCAGCACAUAUACUAAAACUGAAACAAUACAGAGAAGACUAGCAUGGCCCCUGCACAAGGAUGACAUGCACAUUCGUGAAGUGUUCCACAUUUUU